rnacentral:rRNA from 1 species
GCAGCCGCCACGGUAAAACGGAGGGUGCAAGCGUUAUCCGGAUUUAUUGGGUUUAAAGGGUCCGUAGGCGGACUUAUAAGUCAGUGGUGAAAGCCUGUCGCUUAACGAUAGAACUGCCAUUGAUACUGUAAGUCUUGAGUAUAUUUGAGGUAGCUGGAAUAAGUAGUGUAGCGGUGAAAUGCAUAGAUAUUACUUAGAACACCAAUUGCGAAGGCAGGUUACCAAGAUAUAACUGACGCUGAGGGACGAAAGCGUGGGUAGCGAACAGGAUUAGAUACCCCGGUAGUCCCUGUCUCUUAUAC